rnacentral:rRNA from 1 species
GACGAACGCUGGCGGCGUGCUUAACACAUGCAAGUCGUACGGUAAGGCCCUUUCGGGGGUCCACGAGUGGCGAACGGGUGAGUAACACGUGAGUAACCUGCCCACAACUUUGGGAUAACGCUAGGAAACUGGUGCUAAUACUGGAUAUGUGCUCCUGCUGCAUGGGGGGGGUUGGAAAGCUCCGGCGGUUGUGGAUGGACUCGCGGCCUAUCAGCUUGUUGGUGGGGUAGUGGCCUACCAAGGCGGCGACGGGUAGCCGGCCUGAGAGGGUGACCGGCCACAUUGGGACUGAGAUACGGCCCAGACUCCUACGGGAGGCAGCAGUGGGGAAUAUUGCACAAUGGGCGCAAGCCUGAUGCAGCAACGCCGCGUGCGGGAUGACGGCCUUCGGGUUGUAAACCGCUUUCAGCAGGGACGAAGCUUUUUGUGACGGUACCUGCAGAAGAAGCACCGGCUAACUACGU